CAGAAGGUGCAAGCGUUACUCGGAAUUACUGGGCGUAAAGCGUCUGUAGGUUUUUUGUCACGUCUGGCAGUAAAUUGCGGGGCUCAACCCCGCAGGUCUGUUGGAUACGAGCGAAAUAGAGUCACUCAGAGGCAUCUGGAAUGUCAUGUGUAGGGGUAAAAUCCGUAGAUACAUGAUGGAACGCCAAAAGCGAAAGCAGGAUGCUAGGGGUGUACUGACACUCAGAGACGAAAGCGUGGGGAGCAAAGGGGAUUAGAUACCCCCGUAGUCCACGCCCUAAACGAUGCGAGCUCGAUGUUGGACUUUUCAAUCAAGUCCUGUGUCUUAGCUUACGCGGUAAGCUCGCCGCCUGGGAAGUACGGCCGCAAGGCUA
rnacentral:rRNA from 1 species